rnacentral:lncRNA from 12 species
AAAAUACUCUGCUCCCAACAGCGCUUUUCAUUUAAAAACCCCCUUGGAUUGGCAGAAUUGUACCUUUGCACUUGACAUAAAGACUUUGAAGACAGAGAGCGAGCACUUACUGCGUGUCAGGGCAGUGUCACAGCAGUGCCAGGGCAGUGUCACAGCCGUGCCGGGCUGCUUCUCCCCCGCUGCUGGCUCCGGCUCCGCUUCACCACAUGGUUCUUAAACCUUGCAUUUCCUUCUUACGGCGAUUGCAAAACUUUCCCACAGUCAGCCACACAAAAGCAGCGCAGAAGGCAGUGCCUGGUGCUGUCACUGCUCUGGCAGCCUACCUGCCAGCCUCUCCCGGCUGGAACAACUUGUUUUCUUCACCCUUUUUUUUUUUUUUUUUUUUUUUUUUUUUUUUUUUUUUUUUUUCUUAUUUUUUCCAAGCACCCACAGCCUCCAGCUUUCAUCUCCUGGUGCCUUGGAGGGUCAGCAGGGAAACCAAGGGAUGGCCGAGCUCCGGGAAGGGCAUGAACCACUCGUGGAGAUCUGCCAGGUUUUGUCUGCAACCAGGUGUAAAAGUGAAGUCUGUUGGAAAGGCCCCUGCAAGGCCCUAGUCCGUCAGGAGAGCCCAGGGACACGCAAGGACACCCAGAGAGAGAGUGCUCAGCCAUCCCCCGCCUCCAAGAGGUUCUUUUGCUGACAGUUUUUAGCCCUGGCCUGCUGCCACGCUGAGCUGAAGCAGAUGGCAUCUUCCACCGAGGAUCUCCCUCUUUUCCACCAGCGCAGAAAGCUCGGCACGAGGGGGAGUAACAACAAGUAAGUCUAUAGUGGGAUGCAACCCAAAGGAAAUAAUCUUCAAGUAUGUUACUUCGACAUUUUUCUCAGGCCAAGAUUUCCAAGUCAUAGGAAGA